UACGUAGGGUGCAAGCGUUAUCCGGAAUUAUUGGGCGUAAAGAGCUCGUAGGCGGUUUGUCGCGUCUGCUGUGAAAACUGGGGGCUCAACCCCCAGCCUGCAGUGGGUACGGGCAGACUAGAGUGCGGUAGGGGAGAUUGGAAUUCCUGGUGUAGCGGUGGAAUGCGCAGAUAUCAGGAGGAACACCGAUGGCGAAGGCAGAUCUCUGGGCCGGUAACUGACGCUGAGGAGCGAAAGCAUGGGGAGCGAACAGG
rnacentral:rRNA from 1 species